rnacentral:rRNA from 1 species
GACGAACGCUGGCGGCGUGCUUAACACAUGCAAGUCGAACGGUGAAGCGCCUUCCUUUUUGGUGGGUGUGGAUGAGUGGCGAACGGGUGAGUAACACGUGAGUAACCUGCCCCCUUCUUCUGGAUAACCGCAUGAAAGUGUGGCUAAUACGGGAUAUUCUGGGUCUGUCGCAUGAUGGGUCUGGGAAAGAUAUUGUUUCGGUGGGGGAUGGGCUCGCGGCCUAUCAGCUUGUUGGUGGGGUGAUGGCCUACCAAGGCGGUGACGGGUAGCCGGCCUGAGAGGGUGGACGGUCACACUGUGACUGAGACACGGCCCAGACUCCUACGGGAGGCAGCAGUGGGGAAUAUUGCACAAUGGGCGCAAGCCUGAUGCAGCGACGCCGCGUGAGGGAUGGAGGCCUUCGGGUUGUGAACCUCUUUCGCCAGUGAAGCAGGCCUGCCUCGUUUGUGGGUGGGUUGACGGUAGCUGGAUAAGAAGCGCCGGCUAACUACGUG